rnacentral:ncRNA from 1 species
UAUCUUUGCGCCCUGAUUGAAAAUCAAUUAUGUACAUAAAAAUCAUUUAAAACAAUAUUGGAAUG